AUCCUAAAGAGUAGACAACAUACGGAACCUGGCAUGACAAGACUGGAACGGACAGACUUUGCUGUGAAUAUCUAUAGUUGAUAGACGGAGCAGGACAGGAUGAGUAAAGAAGAGAAAUGUGGACAUGGCUUGGAUUUUACUGAUUUUGUUCAAUUUUUUAAUUUGAUUAAUAAAGCACAAUAUAUGACUGUAA